rnacentral:lncRNA from 1 species
CAGCUCUGAUGACGAUUUGGAUGAAUAUACCCUUAGAAAAAAUGUGGCAGUUAACUGUAGUACUGAAUGGAAGUGGCUUGUAGACAGAGCACGAGUUGGCAGCCGAUGGACUUGGCUUCAAGCUCAGAUUUCAGACCUAGAAUGCAAAAUCCAACAACUAACAGACAUUCACAGGCAAAUUCGUGCCUCCAAGGGGAUAGUGGUCCUAGAAGAAUGUCAGCUUCCAAAAGAUAUUUUGAAAAAACAAAUGCAAUUUGCAGACCAAGCAGCUUCACUAAACAUUCUAGGGAAUCCUCAGGUUCCCCAGGAGUGUCAAGAUCCUGUACCGGAACAAGAUUUUGAAAUGUCACCAAGCAGCCCUACUUUACUUCUUCGAAACAUCGAAAAACAGAGUGCACAGUUGACUGAGAUCAUCAACAGUUUGAUUGCCCCUCUCAACUUGUCCCCAACUUCAUCACCCCUCUCUUCCAAAUCCUGUAGCCAUAAAUGUCUGGCUAAUGGCAUUUACAGGAGAUAAAAUUGGAAUGUUGGCUUCUUUGCUUUAAUUACCAUAGAGAACUAAGUGUAAUUUUGGGAAAUAUUUGUGUUAAAAAUUAUAUAAUUUAUUAUUUUAAUAACUUUCUAAUAUAGCAUAAAAUGAAAAUUUAUAGCAUGGUGAAAAUUAUGCUAAGUAGCCAUCAAAUUCUUUGUGAAAUUAGUGGAUGUAAACAAAGUCUUAAAAUAAAAAGCUGAGGUGGGCAGAUUUCAUGAGCUCAGGAGUUCGAGAUCAGCCUGGCCAACAUGGAGAAACCCCGUCUCUACUAAAAAUACAAAAAAUUAGCCGGGCGUGGUGGUGUGCUCCUGUAGUACCAGCUACUCAAGAGCCUGAGGCACAAGAAUCACUUGAACCUGGGAGAUGGAGGUUGCAGUGAGCCAAGAUCACACCACUGCACUCCAGCCUGGGCAACAGAGCAAGACUCUGUCUCCAAAAAAAUAAAUAAAUAAAUAAUAAAAAAUAAAAAGCUGACAUUUGAUUUUUAUUUCUAAUUGGUUAUUUUGAACAUCUAAUCUUUAAUACUUUUACUAUUUUAUUUAUGUUGAGUUAUGUAUCCAUUGUUCUAUUGUGGGAACAGUUCUAUUGGUUUUGCUUUAUUUUUUCUCGACUUUAUAUUCAUUCCUCAUAUCAGUGAUAAAACAUGUUGAACGUAAAGAUUCUUACAUAUUGUAUAGGAUAACUAUGAUAUUUUCAUUUAUGAGAACGUAUCCUAAUUAGGAAAGUCAUAAUGUAGGUGAAUGUAUUUUAAGCUGCCCCAUAAAACACAUCAAAUUGGUGUAUAAGCAUUGUGAUUUGGGGCUAAUCCCAUUUUAGAUAAUACUUUGUUUACCUAAUCAAGUACUACACAGUUACACACAUAGUUACAUGUGUGUGUUCAUGUGUUUGUGAAUUUUCAUUUUAAUAUACUUGCCUGUAUUUCUGGUCAUUCAUUUGCAAAGCAUUGAUUGCAUAAUUAUUUAUUGUAUGCCACAUAGUCAAGUCCUAGGGACACAAAUAUGAAGACAGAAGUCUUCACUUGUGAAUAACUCACAGUCUGGUUGGUGAAACAUGUAACUACUUAAUAAAAUAUUAUGUAAUAAAAAU